rnacentral:rRNA from 1 species
CCUACGGGAGGCAGCAGUGGGGAAUAUUGGACAAUGGGCGCAAGCCUGAUCCAGCCAUACCGCGUGGGUGAAGAAGGCCUUCGGGUUGUAAAGCCCUUUUGUUGGGAAAGAAAUCCAGCUGGCUAAUACCCGGUUGGGAUGACGGUACCCAAAGAAUAAGCACCGGCUAACUUCGUGCCAGCAGCCGCGGUAAUACGAAGGGUGCAAGCGUUACUCGGAAUUACUGGGCGUAAAGCGUGCGUAGGUGGUCGUUUAAGUCCGUUGUGAAAGCCCUGGGCUCAACCUGGGAACUGCAGUGGAUACUGGACGACUAGAGUGUGGUAGAGGGUAGCGGAAUUCCUGGUGUAGCAGUGAAAUGCGUAGAGAUCAGGAGGAACAUCCAUGGCGAAGGCAGCUACCUGGACCAACACUGACACUGAGGCACGAAAGCGUGGGGAGCA